AUUCUUUUCUGAAUUUGGUUCAAAUUCUACUUUCUCAUUUUAGAGGUGGAUGGUGGUUCAAAUUUUUGGCAACUUCACACCACAUUAUUUUCUGAAAUAGGCAACUGCAAUACAAGUGGGUUCUUGGUGGCCAAUUCCGGUGGUAUUCAGUGGAGGUUCAUUGGAUCCUUGAUCUCAGAAGCUGACUGGGAUAUGCAGUACGCAACGACGGUUAUAUAUGUUGGACAAUCUGAAAUCACCACAUGUUGCAGUCUCUAGCAUUGACUUGUCAUCUUUCUAUCUAAAUUCUUCGUUUUCUAGUUUUUAUUUGUGGGAUUGUCGCCUUGAACAUGUUUUCAUUAGUCAUCUGAAAUUUUUAGAUUCUAAGGGUCAAUUGGGAGAUUUGCAAACUCAUAACAUUUCUGAUUGUAGUGGUUGCAAAUUAGCUAAAAUUUUUUGCUUUAAAUUUUUCUCAAAGUGUCUCUCACUCUAUUGCACCAUUUGAUCUUAUUUACUCUGAUG